CGAACGGGUGAGUAACACGUGAGUAACCUGCCCUUAACUCUGGGAUAAGCCUGGGAAACUGGGUCUAAUACCGGAUAGGAGCGUCCACCGCAUGGUGGGUGUUGGAAAGAUUUAUCGGUUUUGGAUGGACUCGCGGCCUAUCAGCUUGUUGGUGAGGUAAUGGCUCACCAAGGCGACGACGGGUAGCCGGCCUGAGAGGGUGACCGGCCACACUGGGACUGAGACACGGCCCAGACUCCUACGGGAGGCAGCAGUGGGGAAUAUUGCACAAUGGGCGCAAGCCUGAUGCAGCGACGCCGCGUGAGGGAUGACGGCCUUCGGGUUGUAAACCUCUUUCAGUAGGGAAGAAGCGAAAGUGACGGUACCUGCAGAAGAAGCACCGGCUAACUACGUGCCAGCAGCCGCGGUAAUACGUAGGGUGCGAGCGUUAUCCGGAAUUAUUGGGCGUAAAGAGCUCGUAGGCGGUUUGUCGCGUCUGUCGUGAAAGUCCGGGGCUUAACCCCGGAUCUGCGGUGGGUACGGGCAGACUAGAGUGCAGUAGGGGAGACUGGAAUUCCUGGUGUAGCGGUGGAAUGCGCAGAUAUCAGAGGAACACCGAUGG
rnacentral:rRNA from 1 species